GGCGAACGGGUGAGUAACACGUGAGCAACGUGCCCAAGACUCUGGAAUAACUUCGGGAAACCGGAGCUAAUACUGGAUACGAGACGUAAAGGCAUCUUUAGCGUCUGGAAAGAAUUUCGGUCUUGGAUCGGCUCACGGCCUAUCAGCUUGUUGGUGAGGUAAUGGCUCACCAAGGCGACGACGGGUAGCCGGCCUGAGAGGGCGACCGGCCACACUGGGACUGAGACACGGCCCAG
rnacentral:rRNA from 1 species